UACGUGGGGGGCGAGCGUUGUCCGAAUUUAUUGGGCGUAAAGAGCUCGUAGGCGGUUUGGUAAGUCGGGUGUGAAAUCUCCACGCUCAACGUGGAGGGGCCACUCGAUACUGCCAUGACUCGAGUCCGGUAGAGGAGUGUGGAAUUCCCGGUGUAGCGGUGAAAUGCGCAGAUAUCGGGAGGAACACCGGUGGCGAAGGCGGUUCUCUGGGCCU
rnacentral:rRNA from 1 species